AUCCUUCUGUAGUUCAUAAGUGUGAUGAUUGGGUGUUCACACUCUUGUGUGACAUGUGCCUCCCACAGACCUGAUUACAACAUCAGCACAUUACCUGUCUGAUA